rnacentral:misc_RNA from 1 species
AAGUCGUAACAAGGUUUCCGUAGGUGAACCUGCGGAAGGAUCAUUACCAAACGAUACUUCACACACAAGCCCUGCGCUUUCGAGAGAAUUGCAGGCAACCACGAGCAAGCGCAGCGCGGUUCCGCGCUGCGUGAGGGAAUCGAGCAUGCUGACAUGAGUGCCCGGUUCUAGCGCCGUUCCCCCAACGAUCUAACCAUCCGCGGGGAGCUCUGAGAACGGACUCGGUGCUUUCACCGAACCCUGUGCUUGAAAAGGAACCCAAAUGCAGUACAACUGCAAACGGUGGAUCACUCGGCUC